GGCAUGAGUAAUGAGAGAUACGUGAGAAUCGUAUCCGCCGAAUGAUCAAGGGUUCCUGGGUCAAGUUCGUCUUCCCAGGGUGAGUCGGGUCCUAAGGCGAGGCCGACAGGCGUAGUCGAUGGUCAACGGGUUGAUAUUCCCGUACCCGUGGUAUCGCG
rnacentral:rRNA from 1 species